rnacentral:rRNA from 1 species
GAAAGAACUUUGAAGAGAGAGUUAAGAGGGCGUGAAACCGCGUAGAAGUAACUUGGUGGACGGGCAAUGUAGCCUUCAGGAUUCAGCUCAUGGUGCCAGCGCCGUGGCUGCGCUGUCGACCGAUGGAAGACGGCGUGCUGCGUGUCAUGCGCACGGUACCGUGGGUGCACUUUCUGUUGGCGAACGCAAAGAUCGGUUGAUGCGUUGACUGAAGUCUUCAUGGGAGUCAGCAGGGCCUUGCGGUCUUGUGACGUACCAAGGAGCUACGGUUCGAUUGCACCGACUGAGAUCAGCUCUGCCCGCAUGUCUUCUUGGUAACGCUAAUCUGAUGCGGUCGAACUGUCGGUGUUUCUGCUGUAACAGGUAGAACGCUGGCGACUCCUGCGUUAGAUAUGCGGUGCUGUUGGAGAUGGCGGAGAGGAUCGUUUGCGUCUGUGUCCCUCACCCACCUAUAUCGUCUUGAAACACGAGCCGAGGAGUCUAACAGAAGCGCAAGUCAUUGGGUUUCAUAAAACCCCAAAGGCGAAAUGAAAGUAAAGUCGUGGCCUUGUGCUCGACGAGCUGAGAUCCGUGGCUUUGGUCGCGGCGCAUCAGCGUCCCGUCUCGUGAACCGUUCGCGGCUUCUGGGGCGGAGAUAGAGCGUUUCUGUUGGGACCCGAAAGAUGGUGAACUAUGCCUGUGUAGGAUGAAGCCAGAAGAAAUUCUGGUGGAAGUCCGUAGCGUUUUUGACGUGCAAAUCAAUCGUCAAACAUGGGUAUAGGGGCGAAAGACUAAUCGAACCAUC